AAAUUUCUUCGAUUGAUCUAAACACCAAAUUAAUUGCAGUUUCAGGCCAUGCCAACAGAUUUGAAUUGCAAGAUCCAGUUCUUGACUGUUUGAACUCGAGCAUCCAGUGCAUGUUGUCUUAGAGUAUUAGCUUAACUGAUACAAGGGUUCAUGUUCGCCCAGAAGAGAGGAUGGUUGAUGCUCAUGCUGUGGAAGAUGAUGUAGAUUUAGAGGGAAAUCAAGUUUGACUUUGAGGAUUCUAUCUGUUUAAUGUCAUAAGCCAAAUACAAGUUGGUUAACUUAAUAGAAACACCAAACUGCUGUUUAAGGGGAAGAUUUUUUGUUGAUGUUCUGUUCAUGGUACUUCUGGUGAUGAAGAAAUGGAUGACAUGAUGGGUGCUGGUUGUGUAUACUGUAGGCUUUUGGUUUGAGGUUAUUGCACUGAAUUGCUGAGAGCUUCGCACAGGUGGAAUGGCUGAAUAAGUUGCAUCUAGAGACUCACAACAAGAGAAGAUGAUGGCGUGCUGAGCAGCUGAGGAUUGUUGGUGCUGAUUCUGCAGUAUCUAGGAUUGUUGGGUAUCCUUCUACUUUUGCAGCCUAAACUUUGACAACAAAACCAGAUCUAGAAAAUACGGUAUCAGGUCGCAACAGUAUGAAUCUUAGUGAGUUUCAGAAGAAGCAUGAUGUAGCCUUCAAAGCUUUAAGUAUUUGGUAAGAAGAAGCAUGA